GAUGAAGAACGUAGUGAAAUGCGAUAAGUAAUGUGAAUUGCAGAAUUCAGUGAAUCAUCGAAUCUUUGAACGCACCUUGCACCCUUUGGCUAUUCCGAAGGGUAUGCCUGUUUGAGUAUCAUGAACACCUCAACUCUCAUGGUUUGCCAUGAUGAGCUUGGACUUUGGGGGUCUUGCUGGCCUGUGGUCAGCUCCUCUCAAAUGGAUUAGCUUGCCAGUGUUUUGUGGCAUCACAGGUGUGAUAACUAUCUACGCUUGUGGUUUUCCACCAGGUAACCUUCAGCAAUGGGGGUUCGCUGGGGCUCAUAAAUGUCUCUCCUCAGUGAGGACAGCUCUUUGAACGUUUGAUCUCAAAUCAGGUAGGACUACCCGCUGAACUUAAGCAUAUCAAUAAGCGGAGGA
rnacentral:misc_RNA from 1 species